UACGUAGGGCGCAAGCGUUGUCCGGAAUUAUUGGGCGUAAAGAGCUCGUAGGCGGUUUGUCGCGUCUGCUGUGAAAACCUAAGGCUCAACCUUGGGCUUGCAGUGGGUACGGGCAGACUAGAGUGCGGUAGGGGUGACUGGAAUUCCUGGUGUAGCGGUGGAAUGCGCAGAUAUCAGGAGGAACACCGGUGGCGAAGGCGGGUCUCUGGGCAGUAAACUGACGCU
rnacentral:rRNA from 1 species